rnacentral:RNase_P_RNA from 1 species
UGAGUCGGCCAGGCGGUCGCGUCAAGACGUUUGGGCCUAACUCAAACGGACUUGCCGAGGAACGUCCGGGCUCCACAGAGCAAGGUGGUGGUUAACAGCCACCCGGGGUAACCCGCGGGACAGUGCCACAGAAAACAAACCGCCAUCGGCAACGGUGGUAAGGGUGAAACGGUGCGUGUAAGAGACCACCAGCGCUCCAGGUGACUGGAGCGGCUAGGUAAACCCCACCUGGAGCAAGACCAGACAGUAUGCGUUCGAGGGCUGCUCGCCCGAGUAUGCGGGUAGGUCGCUAGAGGCGGCUGGCAACAGUCGUCGUAGAUGGAUGACCGUCACCAGCACAAGGCCAGUAAUGGCGUGCUGGGACAGGACCCGGCGUAUCGGCUGACUCAUCCA